UCCCUGGUGGCUCAGAGGUUACAGUGUCUGCCUGGAAUGCAGGAGACCUGGUUCGAUCCCUGGAUCGGGAA
rnacentral:tRNA from 1 species